UUCGUCAAGCUAGGAAGUAAAUGGAUGGGAAUGCCGCCUUGGCUGCAAGCAUAAAUUCUCUGUCCGUGUUUGCCUUGCCUGAAAAUGGAUGAAUAAUGCAGAUGGACCUUCCUGCAAAUGCAUAGAUUCAGUUGCUGUCCGAUUUUUGUGUACUUCUGGUUUUAUUUCCAUUUCCACUUGCCACAAAAAAGUUAGGUGCAUCACAGUCAUUAAAGAAUUCAACCCAGCAUGAUUUGCCUUCAGCUUUGGGAUGACUUGUUUCAAGUACAGAUACUCGGCAUACUGUUCAUCUCUAUCAACAGUCACACUACAGGCUGAUACUAUCUCCAAAAUGUCAGAAAAACAGCAAGGCUCAUCAAGGUUUAGAACAUGCAGUUUCUUCAGCAGACUUGUUUCAAAGUCAAACCACUUAUCCAGGCUUUUAGAACAGUUAUUGAAGUCGCAAUGGCCAGUCAGAGAUUGAAGGUGAGUAGUGGACAUGCCAGGAACAGCACUUAAGCCUCAAGGGAGAAGAAUACAAAUGUGUCCGUUGUUGGCCAUCACCUAUUCAUGACAAGAUGGCUGCAUUCAUGUUUACAGACAGAAAGUGGUGCAGUUGCCAGAUACCACAAGGAAUUCACGUUCCUCAGAAACCAUCUUGAACUCAGAUCUACCUAUUCAGAAUACCUAUUUUUCAUUCUUAUAUUCCAUUUCCAAGGAUUUCUGUUUAUACUGAAUACUGAUUGGUGAGCUUUAACUCCUUAGGAUAGCGUUUCUUGUUACAGAUAGAGAGAUCAAAAUUUCCAUUCAGGAAUACUUUCAGUUUAACCCUUAUAUAACUGUAUGCUUGGGUAAGUGCCACAGGCAUAAUUUCACAAUAAAAUAAGAAAAAAAUGAGAAACGGUCAGUUACCUACUGGCACUCACACAAACAACAACGUUUACUUUAUUUUCUUGACUCAGAUAAAUAGUUGCCCUUCCAAGUUACUAAGAAAUACCAGUGGAUUUGGAUUGCGUCAAGUUUUCACUGGGUGGCGGUGGUGAUGUUGGCAGAUUGCUUUCUGUAGCAUCAGAUUACAAAGAAAAACAAUAAAUAAAUGCAAACUUUUAAAUACGCAGAAGAUCUAUGACUUUCCUGGCUUUAACUGCAAUUUUGUAUUCAUAUCCUUCAUUUUGGCCAUGACAAAACAAUGUAUUUUCUCUGAAAUAUGCUGUAAAAAAGUGAGCAUGCAUGAAUAAGUAAUUCCAUUGGAGUGACAGAUUUCUUCAUUCACUGCCAGUUAAUGUAGGCCUUGGAUGUUAGAAGACUGCAAUGCUUCAGUUUUAAAUCACUGAAGUACUUUAUAAGAAACAAGACCAAACACAAAAGCAGCUUGUUUGCAUAAACACACAUAUGUUCUAAAUUUAACUUGACAUUUCAGACAGCUUAGAAUUAGGUUUGAUUUACAGGAAUGUGCUUCUUGCAAGCAUAGCUUUUCAACUAAACAGGAAAUAUUACAUUUUUAAUAAAAUGAAGUUUUGGAUUCCAUGGACACUGAUAACUUUGAAUUAUGUUGAAGAGUUUUGCAUUUGUUCCUUAAUGGAAAGAUAAAAAGCUGUUUAGUCCUCCAGAGGACCAUUAAAUCACAGAACAUAUAGACGCAAUUCAGUGUACUUAUCCAGUUUUAAGAAACAGCAAUAAAGCAAUAAAGAGAGGUCAAUGUUCUGAGAAGUCGAUAGCAAUUAAAGAAUAUGUGAACUUAAUGCAUACAGAAGAUUUGUAGUUGCAUUUACGCUUCAGAUUUUCUUCUCUGAUAUUUAUUCAAAAAACAAUUUGGAUAGUGACAUUAUUUAUACUAGAGAUUUGUGUCGCUUGAGGAAGACAAGGCUGGAGUUGUGCUAUACCUGGGUAUAUUUUAGGAAGAACAGCAUAGGUAAAAGAGUAUAACAUAAUGUUUCUGUAGUUAGAAUGAAAAUAAGCUGCAGAAAGAAGGUAAGCUAUAAUGAGCAAACAGAAGGAUUUAAGUUCCGUGCAGUGCUGGUACAGGUAGCCCAGAGGUUAAAUCUCUGUCUUAUAGCUACUGGACCCAGUGUGUUCUCCUGACGUCUGAUCCCUACCUGUGAUACCAAAGGAGAAAGACUGGGAAAUCCAAACAUUUUAGAGUUUUAAUUUUAGAGUUUCAAAAUUACGAGAUUCCAGGUCAGUUUGCUUUUUAGCAUCCAAAUAAGUGAAAGGGCAGAAGCAAAGUAUUUAAUACAAGUAAUUACUUUUCAAUACUCACAGAGUUGACUGUCUUUGCAUUAUUGACUGUGGGCAUUAAGCAAAAGAUCAAAAUCAUGUAUAACUGCUCUUUCUAUAUUUACUGUAUAAUUAGAGUCAUGGAUAAAUUACAUCAGCUGAAAUCAUGUUGCAUGCAAUGCAGAUGAAAUGUUUUCUAUGACCCCCACUUUGGUGUUACUGAUAUGCUUGGCUGCG